CAACCGAUGAGGAUAUCAUUUACCAAACACACCAUCUUUCGGGACUGAAUGGCUUUGUUAGGCCUUGAUGUUAAUUCUGCAAUUCUGAGGCCG
rfam:Cajanus cajan CcLG08_879, whole genome shotgun sequence.